rnacentral:rRNA from 1 species
CCUACGGGGAGCAGCAGUCGAGAAUCAUUCACAAUGGGGGAAACCCUGAUGGUGCGACGCCGCGUGGGGGAAUGAAGGUCUUCGGAUUGUAAACCCCUGUCAUGUGGGAGCAAAUUAAAAAGAUAGUACCACAAGAGGAAGAGACGGCUAACUCUGUGACAGCAGCCGCAGUAAUACAGGGGUCUCAAGCGUUCUUCGGACUCCCGGUGCGUAACGCGUGCGUAGGCUGUUUAGUACGUCGUGUGUGAAAGACGCGGGCUCCACCCGCGGACGAAACAUGAUACUGCGAGACUAGAGUAAUGGAGGGGGAACCGGAAUUCUCGGUGUAGCAGUGAAAUGCGUAGAUAUCGAGAGGAACACUCGUGGUGAAGGCGGGUUCCUGGACAUUAACUGACGCUGAGGCACGAAGGCCAGGGGAGCGAAAGGGAUUAGAUACCCUUGUAGUC